UUAUGAAUGGUUAUUUUACUUUUGCUAAUACAAGUCGAGAUUUGACAAAAGGAAUGUUCACAUAAAUGCGCUCAAAAAUGGGCUUAAAAUGCGAAAUGGUUGAGAAAACCAUUCAUCACAUGAGCUAGUAUUGAAAAAGUGUAACUAAAAAAGGCAGAAACAAAUUCAAAUAUUAUCUUAACAGAUUAUCCUGGGUGACGUUUGAAGAUACAUGGGACUCUAAUGAUGGAUGUUACACUGAAAACCAUAGGACAAGUUACACAAUCAGGUAGAGGUAUAAAUACAGUUGAUAAUUGUUGUUGGGCUUGAUUAUCAAGGUUGAUUAACAAUCUUGUUUCAAGUGAUUCGGUGACUUGGUUGAGAAACUGUGAUUCCAGAAGUGAGAAGGAAAGUGUAAUUUUUAACAUUCCUUUUCUUGUAUUUUUUGAUGAACUGAAAGGCAGUGAAAAUUUAUUGACGAAAGAUUUGAUUUUACUCUCGCACCUUAAUUGCUUUUUUGUCAUUGAAAUUAUCAACUGAACGAAUCAACAAAUCAGAUAUCACUGAAGGUAUCUCGGUCAGGUUCAGGUUUUAAUUACACAUUGAUGGGCUUCCAUUGGGUAAAAUGUACCUUUCAAUAUCUAUCCUUUUUUGCAAACAUUUAACACAGAUUAUUGGAGCAAGGUUGUAUUUAAUAUUGUAUAAAGAUUAUUUAAUUAACUAAUCAAGUCAAAAUUCAGUGGGAUUCAACAGAUUCACUAGAUUUUGACACUAAAUUUAUGAUCUUCGCUGUAGGCAUUCAUCAGCAACUCAAAGAUGAGGCCUUUUUGUAUUUAUGAUGAUGACUGUUAAUGAUGAAAAAUAGAUGAUAAUAGUGAUUAUGAUGGUGAUUUUAUAGCUUUCCAAGAUGCUGAAGGUUGGUUGGAGUGAAUUUUAAAGAUUUAUCCCAAUUAGAUGAAGAAGAUUAUCUUAUUUUGGUUGAUUCAAAAUACUCAACAGUCGCAUAAUCUUGGGAUAAUAUAAAAAGAUAUCACUUAGUCAAUCUGAUUGAGUGUAAACUACUUUCAAUCAAGGUAAAUAGGUUUAUAUGAUGAGAGAAAUGACAUCAAAUGUUGAAAAUAGUUAACCAAAAUAAAAGAUAUAAAAUGAUAUAAAAAAUAUAAUUAACUAUGAAGAUCAAUACAAUCAAAAACCAAUCCUAUGUUAAAUAAACUCUAAAAAAACAAAUCUCCCUCAAAGGCUAAUUUCACGUAACUUGAAGUGGAUUUAGCUCGACUGUCAGAGUUCAAAAAAGCACAUUGUCUGAGUGAUUAUAAAUUUUAAGAUUUUUUGGUAACAAUUCAGUGCUCUUCUAAAUAAUUUGUGAAUAUUAUUUUGAUUGAAUUUGAUAAUUUCAUCUGCUUUAAUAUGUGUUCGGGUUAAUAUAAACUUUUUUGUUAGGCCUUUAAAACGGUUAUGUACUCUGCUCCGACUUUUAUUUUGCUAUUGCGACUAUCAUCGUUUUUAAUCGGAAGAUUUUAUGAUUUGAUUCAACUCGAUUUCCCUAUUAUAUUUUAUCUAAUUUCCUUUUCCAUUUUUUUGCUUACAGGUCAAAUUACCUAUCGAUCUCAAUGGAAAUGGCAGUUGAAUCAAACAAUUGACACAAAAUGGACAGUUUGGCAAGUUUUCCAUCUCCACUUACUAGUACUGAGCCUUGCUUUUUUUGGUGAACAAUACAAAGAGACUUUAGAUGGAACAACAAGAAACAAUGUUGAUUUAUAUUAUCAAAAGGUGACACCAACAAGUUACAAGAGGACAAUACAAUUUGUCGAUAAUUUAUUGAUGUUUUGGGUUUAGUUUGAUUUGUGCAUAUCAACUUUGAAAUCAUCAUCACUCUACGAUCAUCACAAUAAUCAUCACAAUCACCAACAGCCUUUUCAUGUUUUGACAAUUAAUUGAUAAUGAUGCCAACAAAUGGACAUACUGAUCGACUCUAAGCAGAUCGAUUAACUGAUUAUAAGUAUUAUCUUUCUCAAUUGACAGAAUCUAUUGCCAUUUACCAUUCAUUGAAUACAAUUCAAAUAUAUUCAUGGAUUUGUGUCUCUCUAUAUAUUAAUAUAUCUUGGAUAUGUGUAAAUGAAUUAUUAUCCCGGAUUCACUUGACUUGACUUGGACAGUCUAACCGUAGCGGUGGAGUUUUUAUUCCACUGACCAAAAUAACGAUUAUCCUUAUCGACCAUUUAUUUUGCUGAUGGUUGUAUGGUUCCUAAAUGUUUGCUAAUCUCUCUCCUUUCUGGUGACAAACAUUUCUUACUCGUUUCACGGUUCAUUUUGUUGAGUUACGCUGAAUGGACAAGCCUAAAUUGUUUGUAUGCGUUAAGCCUGUAACAAAACCACUAACAGCGUGAUACCUUUAAGAAUGGAACGGCAAGGAAGAAGAAUAAGAAGAUGAAAAGACUGACAAACCCAAUAAAUACAGAUACGAAUCACUGUUAUUACUGUAUUAAUAUGUAGGUUGGAGCAGAGGAACAAGGAAUGAAAAUUUCACCAAGAAAAAAUGCCUGAUUUUCCCAGCUGAUAUCCAAUAUCACAACUAUCGAAUGCUAUUAUUGAAAUCAUUUUAAACAUUUCCGUUGCGCCACACAUUUCGCUAUUGCAAAUGGCAAGUUUUACUUUUUUAUUGUAAAUGGUUAUAAGCGUUUUUGGCUGACCAAGUGAUUCAAUCUUAAUGAUAUAAUGAUAGGUUAAGGAAAAAAACUGACAAUUUCCUUUACAAAUAAUACAAGUUGAGCUUGUACAAUGCCAACAUUUUUGUUAAAAUACAAAUUGCUUCAAUCGUUUACAUUUGUUCUCAUAACCAAUGAAGUAGUCAAUCUGAGGAUCUUUCAACAUUACAAUAAUUUAACCAAAAAUAUUGUCCAACAUCAAUAGAAGGAUUCAUUUGCGAAAAGAUCAAGCAACGAGGAAAACAUGGAAAAGCUGAAAAACAAUGGAAGAAAUGAGGACAAGAAAAGUUGACCGUCACAGGAUAAAGUUUACAUUAUACUGCUUUCUUCAUUCAACCCAAUGUAAAGAUUGCUUCAGGAAUACAAGUUAAAUCAAUACAACAAUUUGGACCAUUGAGAGGAAAAGGGCAAACAAUCAGAAUCAGCAACAAUGGAAAAGAUUUGAUAAAAAUGCUCAUUCAUCUGAACAAAUAUAAAUCUCAUUUACAGACCCGAAUUAUUCAUCAAGAAUGUCGACUCGCUCUGUAAAUUAGCAGCCAUGACAAGAAUUUUCAGAUUUUUGAAUAACUUAUUUAGUUUUUCAUUGCUUAUUUCAGCUUUUUUUUUGUUCUUACAACUUUACAAUACUUUAUUGUCUAGUAAGAAAUAACACAGAAACUCAAAUGCUUGAUAUUCACACAUAAUUGUAAAUAUUAACAGUAGGUUUCUGUUGAUGUGCAGGGUUGUUGAACUACUAAUCCAAAUCCAAGAGUUUCAGGUUAUUCACGCUAUUUCGAUAUUGGAUGAGUUCUGAUUUUGUCAGCAAUCGUUACUUUGACUUUAUUUCAAUUUACUUUUUUUGUUCAGCCCUUCAGGCAAACAAGCUUUAAAUCGUUUGAGUUUUCGUAUUAAAAAAAGGUCUUAGAUUAAUCCUGAAUGUUUCCACUCAAACUUGAUUCACAUCCAAGUUCAUUUCUCCCAUGUUAAAAUGAUGGAUAAAUAAACAGAGAUUCAAUUGAUCUUUAUCGAUUCAAUCAUCAGAUAAUCAUUAACAAUGUUCACAUUAUGGAAGGAAACCACAAUAACCAAUGUUAACUGAUUGAUUGAAUAUUUGACCUGGUUGACUUAAAUGAGCUUUGAUUAAAUCAUUGUAUUAUUUCACCGAGAAAACUUUCCUCAUAUUGCUUCGUAAUAUUGGCAUGUACAUACAUUUUGAUUUGGAAUGAAUAAUUUUCUGAAUGAUUAUUCAACUUUAAACAUUUUCAAAGAAAAGAUCAUCUAACAUUCAAAUAAUUAGACAGUUAUGUUAGAUUAUUGAUGUAAUCACAAGGAAAUUGGAUACUGAAAUUAUUUUAAGCUUGCACUACCAAAUGAUAAUUGAUGUUUUUGCCUACUAAUUGAUGGUUAACAGAAUCCAAUUAUCACAAUAUCAAGUUGAAUAAAAUUUUGACAAUAAACAGACGAGACCAGUUUCAACAAUUAACCAAUUAUUGUACUUCUAAACGUUUCUCUGUUAAUCAAUCAUCGUUUUUUUCAAAAGGCCGUCAAAUAUUUUGCCAGGAAAUUUCAAUGAAGGGUUAAUGACAGACAAAAAUGAAUGGCUAAAUAAGCUAAUUAUCUAAACAAGUAAUAUAUUUGUUUUAGUUUACACAGAUGAAUAGAUUAGCAAUUCAGAUUGAUAGUU